rnacentral:tRNA from 1 species
GAGGAGGCAUAAGACCUGCCAACUCUUUAAUCUGGGAUUAACCCCAGCUCCCUC